AUCCAGUUGACGGAUCCUAUAUAGGACGAAACAAGUGUCAUGGAU
rnacentral:hammerhead_ribozyme from 1 species